GGUUGUGGCUGAGUGGUAGAGCACUUGCCUAGCAUGCAUGAGGCACUGGGUUAGAUCCCCGCACCA
rnacentral:tRNA from 1 species